rnacentral:rRNA from 1 species
GAUGAACGCUGGCGGCGUGCUUAACACAUGCAAGUCGAACGGGAAUUAUUUUAUUGAAACUUCGGUCGAUUUAAUUUAAUUCUAGUGGCGGACGGGUGAGUAACGCGUGGGUAACCCGCCUUAUACAGGGGGAUAACAGUCAGAAAUGGCUGCUAAUACCGCAUAAGCGCACAGAGCUGCAUGGCUCAGUGUGAAAAACUCCGGUGGGAUAAGAUGGACCCGCGUUGGAUUAGCUGGGUGGUGGGGUAACGGCCCACCAAGGCGACGAUCCAUAGCCGGCCUGAGAGGGUGAACGGCCACAUUGGGACUGAGACACGGCCCAGACUCCUACGGGAGGCAGCAGUGGGGAAUAUUGCACAAUGGGGGAAACCCUGAUGCAGCGACGCCGCGUGAAGGAAGAAGUAUCUCGGUAUGUAAACUUCUAUCAGCAGGGAAGAUAGUGACGGUACCUGACUAAGAAGCCCCGGCUAACUACGUG